GACGAACGCUGGCGGCGUGCUUAACACAUGCAAGUCGAGCGGUAAGGCCCUUUCGGGGGUACACGAGCGGGCGAACGGGUGAGUAAACACGUGGGUGACCUGCCCUCAGCUCUGGGGAUAAGCCCUGGGAAACCGGGUCUAAUACUGGAUAUGACUCCAUGACGCAUGUUGUGGGGUGGAAAGCCUUGUGCGGCUGAGGAUGGGCCCGCGGCCUAUCAGCUUGCUGGUGGGGUGAUGGCCUACCAAGGCGACGACGGGUAGCCGGCCU
rnacentral:rRNA from 1 species